CAUGCUAGUGUGAUAUGGAAAACCAUAUACGGUGGACCCACAUGUCCGUGAGACAUGGAAAAAAAAAAGUUCACAUGUGAGUUCGCACGCCUCUCCACCCUACGCUCGUGUCGUUCACACAGAUGCGGCGAUGGUCGUCCCGGUGAGCUGACUCACACGAGGAGGCGAGGCCCGAUGGUGACUAGGGCUCGGCGUGGAAGGUAAGGGAGGAAGGCAGGAGAAGGUGGGGGAGGACACGACGAGCUCCUUCCCAUGCAUGUCCAGACGACGAGUUCCUCCUCACGCACGCACGCACGCUACCAGCGAACUCCUUCCCGCAUAUGUGCCGCAACCGGUGACCCCUCCUUCGGCGCGCACCGUGGCUAGCGAUUCCUCUCCGCGUGCGCGCCGCGGCUGAUUGCUAGCACGCGUGACCGACCGCGACCCCUCUCCUUGCGCGCCGUGGCGGCAAGAUCCUUCCCGCCUGCUGCUGUGAGGCGAGAGAGGAGGAAGAGGAAAGAGAGAGGGAAUGCGCCGAUGGUGUUCGGCGGAAUGCCCCCACCGAGAGUGUACUGCAGGUAAUUACUGAUACUACAUCGACCAAUACACAUUUUGGAUAGCUUCCUUACGCCAUUUCCACUUCAAAAAUGAUAAGCUCCAAAAAAUGUUCUGCUUUAUUCCUCAGCGGGGCUUACACGAUUGACAAGUGGCAACCGAGUUACUUUGAAGCUUUCAUCAUGUGCAUUGACAUUGUGUAACCUUUUCUAUGUCUACUAUCCUGGCUUGAAACAGGCAUACCAAGGAACAUGGCAGCAUAGGAGCUCUGCUGGUGCAUGUAGCCGUACAUUGUUGCCGCUGCCGUGGUGUCUGCCUCCGGCUCUGGCCCGCAGUCGAGGUUGACGCCGAACAGCCUGAGCCGCCUCGAUGGCGCCGAGCCUGCACUGAAGCUUGGGCUGUCCGUGUCGCGCGGAGACUCGUCUACAGUUUGGUCAUCAGAAAUGGUAUGAGCAAGCAAAGCUCGAGGAAAAUGUGAUUGUAAUCUCACGUGGCCUUGUCAUUGCCUGCUCCUACUUUCUGCUAUGAGGUUUCAAGUUCCCAAACGCCAGGAUCAAGAAUGGACCAGUACAGAGUUCCCUUUCAACGAUUUCCAACAAGUUCUUGAAUCAGAUCUCUCUUUUGUGCGUGUGGCGUGUGAUGAGAAUGCGUAUUGCGGAUGAUCUAAAUUGGAGCUUUUUUUUCUUGUGGCGCACUGGCGAAGACUGACGUGAUGGAGAUCGAAGGUGACGAAGGAGAUGAUGGGGGAGAGAAACAGGUAGGAGUAUACUCCUAUGUGUGUGUCAUCAGACUCGGCCUUUUACCCUCGCAGGUCAUGCAUUGCGUUGUACUACCCUCUUUCUGUCAGCAUAAAGAGGGACUUUAGUGAAGGCAGACAAAGUGGAAGAAAGAGAGAGAAAGCAUGAACAAUGUGAGGUGUCACAGUGAACAGUAUCCUGAUGAUGCAUGACACUGUACCCGAUUGGCUCAAGAACAGAAGCACCACAAGAUGACCCAAUGGGUAGGCCUUGUACCAACUGCAGAUGACAUCCGUAUUGCUGACUGUACUGUAGCAGCAGGAGGAGAUGGGUGCCAGCCUUGGAGAAUCCUGCAGGUGAAAAUUCUCAGUGACAGACAGGAUCAGCAAAACAAGCAGGGACAUGCGUGCAGCGAAGUGAGAGACACUGUGUGGUGAGAGGAGGCUGAUGAGCAGGUGAAAGUGAAACGUGAGGCAGGUGCCAUUGCCAAUGGCAGUGCACGCCACACACAAGCAUCAGCAUCAGCAAAUUCAGCAGCAACAACCAACCAGCAACGCACGCAGCAAACAUCCACAGCAGCUGGCUCCUCCUUCCCCCACUCCAACAGUUUGGCAGCAGCAGCAGCGGCAGCUCGUUUCCUCGUCGCGUGCAUGCACAAUUGCAUAGAGUAUGCAGCUGCAGCCGCAGAGGUGAGUACUCCUGCGUCCCAUAGAAAAACUGGAUCAUAUGACAUCCUAAUACUACGAAUCUAAACAUACAUAGGAUGUGGUUUUUCAUGGGAUAAAUGGAGUAUGCAGCUGCAGCAGAGGUGCCGGUCGAUCCGGUCCCCCAUUGCUGGGCUUACGCAAGAAGACAGUGAGAUCGACCGAUCGAUCCAUCGGCGGCCUGCCGGCCGGCGACGUGCUGUGCAGAGCAGCUGGGUCCUCGCCGUCGCCGUCGCUGGCUAGUUGGCUGUGUAUAGCUAGUACCUCCUAGCUAUCUAGGUGCAGGCCAUCGCAUGCAUGAUCGGUCGAUCGAUGCAGAUGCAUGCAGUUAAUCAUCCAUGGUCCAUGGACCAGCAGCAGCAGCAGGGUGGCCACUGGCUAGUACGGCCAGAGGAUCGAUUUAUAUAUCAUCAUACCAUUGAUGGAGCUAGCCGUCCAGCUAUAGGCUGUGUUUAGUUCAGCGCAAAGUUUGAAUUUUGGUUGAAAUUGGAGAUGAUGUGACUAAAAAGUUGUGUGUGUAUGACAGAUUGAUGUGAUGGAAAAGGACUGAAGUUUGGAUCCAAACUUUGAAUCUAAACACAGCCAUAGAUGAAUACAAUCGAGGUUCACCUCUCCGAUUGAGUAGCGCCGGAUCU